rnacentral:tRNA from 1 species
GCCUCGUUAGCUCAGUGGCCAGAGUACCGGCCUGUCUAGCCGGAAGCCGCGGGAUGCUCGCUUCGCUCGGUCUGCGGCCCGUUGCUUCGCAACGUCCUGCACGCUGCGCGUGCAGAGCGACUCCCGCACGAGGCGCCA